AUUAAAAAAAAAAAAAACAAUUUUGUGUGACAGUUUUAAGUGUAUGUCUACAUAUCUUCACUGUACCUAUAAUGGCAAUUAGAUAUUAAUGUAUCAAGUAGGUGCGCAAGUAACUCUGUAAAGGAAUGGAUUCAGAACCUGAUAAAACCAGAAAUUAUCACUGUUUAUCACAUGGACAUGAAAAAGAUGGACGUGAAGAAGACCAAAGGAGCACAUUGGCUAGAGAGGCUGCGAAGUCCACCACCUUCCCAAUGCUCCAUCGGAGGCAGAAGAACAUGGCUUUGCUCUUUUCUUUGCUCCCCUUUGGGAGAUUGUCUUCACAGGUCACCUCCUAGACAAGAACAGUUUUGCUCUCAGGGAAGCAUGCCUAACGGGGAAUGUUGGGAACAUCUAGAGCAACCGUAGGAACUAACAGUGAGAGCAAUGCCUAGCUCAGCAAAAAGGAACUCAGAUGUGCUGAAGGUCAGCGGGUGUGUUAUAGAUGAAGACCUUCAAAGAGAUCUGCUGGAAGCCUCAGCUCUGGCCCACUUCAUCAUCACCAGUGCUGCUCCCACAGGAAAGCAACAAGAGUGCAAAUGGGAGACAGGAAAAGGAAAACUUACAGACUCUAAAACUAUGUCUGGGAUCAAACACAAGCCAACAGGAAGACGAAGCAGGAGGUUUGCGAGUUUGUGAAUUUAAGAAGUCUGGGAGACCCAGUGUCUAAAUAAACAAGGUCUCCCCAUGUAACCUUGGCUGGCCUGAAACUCACGGAGUCCCACCUGCCCUGAUAGGAUUACAGAAGUACACUGCAUGCCCAGGUUUACUGUUCUGGCCAUCAGCCUACACAAACUACACAGGACAGCUCUAGAUCCUUAAGUCACUACACUAGUGACUUUCAUGUAAGAACCUGAAAUCCACAGACAGGAGUAUCUACAGUCUCAAACAGAAUGUUCACCUGCCAUCGAGUUCUCUUUACUUCGAGUGCUUUGAAGUGCACACAAACUUCAGUCUCUGCUGAGAGCAAUCAGCUGAACAAAGUACUGCAAUGUGAAGGCAUGUAUCUCAAACCCUUGACUGGUGCACAGCGCACAUCGCAAGUGAUGCGGUCAAUCACUAUCCAUUUUAAGAUCGUUAUAGGUCGGGCUCUUUUCAUCCAUUGAUUAAAAUGCAGAGAAUAA